UGUCACGACCCGGGUCUGAUGAGCUAACUGGCCGAUAACUCCAUUUUGGUCCUUGCAACCACGGACCAAAAUGCUUAAGCCGGAGGUAACGUAGUACACUCAUCAGGCCCUUAUAAGCUAAUCACACACAUUCCCCACUUCCGAUGUGGGACUAAUGGGAUAUUACACUCUCCCCAACCCAAUUAGCUUGAUAUCCUCGUCAAGGCCUGACAUAUCCUAGAUCGAACCCUAGCAUAGUGCAUGUGAGGUUUAACUCAGUGGUGGCUCCACGCCGUGAUGAGUUCUCUGACUCCAUCCACGGGUAGCCCUUUCCUACUGCAGCCCUCUCACCNNNNN
rnacentral:lncRNA from 1 species